rnacentral:lncRNA from 1 species
AGGAACCAACAAAACUCUAUAUAAAAUUAUAUAUUCAAAAUAUACAAACUGAAUUAAGAUAAAAUGUAUUUUUUAAAAUUUAAAUUUUCAAAUUGUUAAUUUCAAAUUUUAGGAUUUAAACAAAAGGGAGUUAGAAAUUUUAAAUUUUAAAUAAAUUACAUAAAUUUUCCGCCGCGAAGCGUGGGCCUACACUAGUAUGUAAUAAAGUUUGAUUAGAUCGACCGUCCCUAGCGCAAGUGGCAAAAGGCUUGAUGGUUGGUAUCCGAGAUUCCAAGUUCGAAUCCUAGUUGAUUACAUUUCUUGCUAAAUUUAUUUCUAAAUGAAAUAAACGAAACGGAUAGCUUGCUACCUAUCUAUCUCAAAAAAAUAAAGUUUGAUC